GGUUUGAUCAUGGCUCAGAUUGAACGCUGGCGGAAUGCUUUACACAUGCAAGUCGAACGGCAGCACGGAGAGCUUGCUCUCUGGUGGCGAGUGGCGAACGGGUGAGUAAUAUAUCGGAACGUGUCCAAUAAUGGGGGAUAACGAGUCGAAAGAUUCGCUAAUACCGCAUACGCCCUACGGGGGAAAGCAGGGGAUCGUAAGACCUUGCGUUAAUGGAGCGGCCGAUAUCUGAUUAGCUUGUUGGUGAGGUAAAGGCUCACCAAGGCGACGAUCAGUAGCUGGUUUGAGAGAACGACCAGCCACACUGGAACUGAGACACGGUCCAGACUCCUACGGGAGGCAGCAGUGGGGAAUUUUGGACAAUGGGGGCAACCCUGAUCCAGCCAUUCCGCGUGAGUGAAGAAGGCCUUCGGGUUGUAAAGCUCUUUCGCAAGGGAAGAAAACUUAUGAUCGAAUAAAUCAUGAGGUUGACGGUACCUUGAUAAGAAGCACCGGCUAACUACGUGCCAGCAGCCGCGGUAAUACGUAGGGUGCGAGCGUUAAUCGGAAUUACUGGGCGUAAAGCGUGCGCAGGCGGUUUUGUAAGUCGGAUGUGAAAUCCCCGGGCUCAACCUGGGAACUGCGUUCGAAACUGCAAGGCUAGAGUGUGUCAGAGGGGGGUAGAAUUCCACGUGUAGCAGUGAAAUGCGUAGAGAUGUGGAGGAAUACCAAUGGCGAAGGCAGCCCCCUGGGAUAACACUGACGCUCAUGCACGAAAGCGUGGGGAGCAAACAGGAUUAGAUACCCUGGUAGUCCACGCCCUAAACGAUGUCAACUAGUUGUUGGUAGAGUAAAAUCUAUGAGUAACGUAGCUAACGCGUGAAGUUGACCGCCUGGGGAGUACGGUCGCAAGAUUAAAACUCA
rnacentral:rRNA from 1 species